AGUAUUAAGGUCCUGCCUGCCCAGUGAAACUUUCAACGGCCGCGGUAUCCUAACCGUGCAAAGGUAGCGCAAUCCCUUGCCCCUUAAUUAGGGGCUAGUAUGAAUGGCCACAUGAGGGCUCAACUGUCUCCUAGGACCAAGUAAUGAAAUUGAAACUCCCGUACAAAUGCUGGAAUAUUCACAUAAGACGAGAAGACCCUGUGGAACUUCAACUACUAUACUAGCAAACAACCCCCCCUAGUAAAACUUUCAGUUGGGGCAACUGUGGAGCAAAACAAAACCUCCAUAAACACGAUUCAUCAUCGCCUUUAAGGCCACCACGCCAACAUAAACAACACAUGACCCGGCACAGCCGAUUAAUGAACCAAGCUACCCCAGGGAUAACAGCGCCAUCCCCUUCAAGAGUUCCUAUCGCCAAGGGGGUUUACGACCUCGAUGUUGGAUCAGGACCCCCCGGUGGUGUAGCCGCUACCAAAGGUUCGUUUGUUCAACGAAUAAUGUCCU
rnacentral:rRNA from 1 species